GAGGAGCCACGUGACUGGGAAAGUAACCAAUCAGCUGUUUAACUUUGUCGUGCCGCCAAGCUCGUCUCUAUUCUGUACUGUGCACGCGGAAGCUAGAUUUUCGUGCGAUAUUUUUGCAUGCAGACAAGUAUUUCCUUAAAAUGCUCGUUUCGGUACGAUAAAGAAACAGCUGACUUUUACUUUCACGCGUGCAUUAGAACGUUCUUUAAUCCGUGUAUCGUCAAAUUCUGAUCUUAAAUGGUUCUAUAUCAUAGUCGCCAUUUUGGUGAUAGACCGAGCCAAGAUUAGCGAGUGUACCUAUGAUCUUUUUAUUUUCACUCGGCAUUCGGUCGAUCGUCGUGAUCGUCGGUGACGCCGGGACGGAAUUCUAACCUCGAGGAUGACGCAACAAAACAAAACGAUGAACUUUCUCAUACAUGACGCGAACGGUCACCCACAAGUAAUAAAGGUAGUGCAAAGUACAGCCAAUAAGGCAUUGGGUGGUAUUGUCAGUACAACAAAUGCAGGUGGCCUUAAGGUCUUUAAGACUCCGAGCCAAGAAUCUCAGGUUUUGUCAUCUAACGCACAAGUUCUUAAAACUAUCAGUUUGCAGAGUCCUUCAACUCCUGGCCAAAGAUUGGUUACAAUACCAUUACAGAAUACAAAGUUAGCAACAACAAAAGCUGGUGAACCUGUAUUGACCAAGACCAUUCAGUUGACAUCCGCACAAAUGGUAAAACUUAGCGAUAUAAAACAGGCAAUAGUGUCUCAGCAACAGCAACAGCAACAAUCUGGUAAUCAACAACUUGUAAAGGAUGCAAGUGGAAAAACAUAUAUCAGUCCAAUAUUGGAUCACAGUGGUUCCAGGAAAAGGCAGGAUGUUGAGGGUGGCGAUUUUGUACCAGAUAAACGAAGAAAAACAGAGAAAGUAGGCAAAGGAUUACGUCAUUUUUCAAUGAAAGUUUGUGAAAAAGUUAAAAAGAAGGGAACAACGUCGUACAACGAAGUUGCAGAUGAACUUGUUGGAGAAUUCACUAAUCCUGCUCAUAUAAAUUCUUUAACAGAUCAGCAAUAUGAUCAAAAGAACAUUAGAAGACGUGUUUACGAUGCUCUGAACGUUUUAAUGGCGAUGAAUAUCAUUUCAAAAGAGAAAAAAGAAAUUAGGUGGUUAGGUUUGCCAACUAAUUCUCUUCAGGAAUGUUUGGCACUUGAAAAAGAUAAAAAGAAAAAGAUCGAGAGAAUCAAAGCGAAAACGCAACAAUUGCACCAAUUGAUCCUUUCGCAUAUCUCCUUUAAAAACUUGGUGGAACGUAAUCGUGCCAAUGAGAGUCUGCGUGGCCCACCAAAACCAAAUUCUGCCAUACAGCUGCCAUUCCUGAUUGUGAAUACUAGCAAAAAGACUGUAAUAGAUUGCAGCAUUUCGAAUGACAAAACCGAGUACCUGUUCAAUUUUAACGAUAAGUUCGAAAUUCAUGACGAUAUUGAAGUUUUAAAACAAAUGGGUUUAGCUUUCGGUUUAGAAAAAGGCGAGUGCACUGAAGAAAAUUUACGAAAAGCUAAAUUAAUGGUUCCAAAAUCUUUGGAAAAAUAUGUGGAACAGCUGGCAUCUGGUGAUUUGGAAAAAUUCAUCCCAGUGACCAUUCCUGGACCAAGUACUUCAAUGGAAGACCUGGACACGAAGUUGGAAGGUUCUCGACCUCCUUCAUCUUCUCACACUUCACUUUCAGAGGAUGUUCUAUCGCCACCCUCGCAGUAUUAUUCCGAGGAAGAAGACGAAGAGGAAGAAAGUGAUCAGGAUGACCAAGCCGAUAGUGAUCUCGAAGUUAACUAGCACUCCGAACGAUUUUCUCGGGGCUGGACUCAGGGUACAUAUAUGUUUAUCUAAGGGAUACUCGUCACUGUUAGCAGCGUACUCGACAUGGUCGUCAUCGAUAUCGCUCUCAAGAACAUCAUUCUCGUACGCAAUCAAGAUGCGGACGAGUACCGGUAAUCGAGGAUCUCGUGAAAGUGGAGCCUCAUUACCACCGUUGAUAAAAGUCUGUUAAUGUGAAAUGAGGAUGGUCAAAAAAUGAAUUAAAUGUCGAUUGGGGCCAAGGAGAAACACAAAAAAUGCAAGAAACAAAUCGCGUAGGGAUAAAACUCAAAAAGCUUCAGAACGUCUCGUUUAAAAAAGGGGACUAUCGAUGCAUGACGAUCGACAGGAUCCAUGAUUAUGCGGCGCGACUGAAACCCGGGGUGCUAUUUUAAUUGUGCAUCAUCUUAACAGGUUUAUAUGACUAGCAUCUAUGUAUUGUAAAUUAUAAUCUUUGCAAUGAUAUCGAUAUUAAUGUGUACGAGACAUUAUGACCAGUACUCAUUUUCUUAUGGCACGUUUAUAAUUAAUAUCGCCCAAACUAAUGUACCAAGAUAAAUGGUAUUCUGGAAUGCGGGCGCACGUCUGAUUCAAUUUCGAACUAAAAAUAAUAAAUUGUAAUAAUGUUAA